rnacentral:misc_RNA from 1 species
UAAAAAGUAAAGCUAUAAAUACAAAGUGGUUCACCCUAUUAUGAAUGACAACAUGCAACUUCUAUAUUCAUGCCAGUAGAACAUCCGAACUAAUAACAAAGCACGCAUGCCUUUGUUUUUAGCAAGCAGUAAUAGUUCCACGUAGCAGCUUGUUCACAUCAAAUGAUGAACAGAUUAACACAGACGGGUGUAGUAUACCUUAAUUCUUAUGCUGCAGCCUCCCACUUUCUGCACCGGCAUAGGGAUCAAUGGUAACAUUUAUUACAGUUGGCUUUCUUGCAGAAAAAGAUUCAGCAAGGGCAGACUUAAGUUCAUCAGGUGUCCCAACUAGAUAACCUUUGCCCCCAAAAGCUUCAAUAACAAUGUGAUAAGCAGCGCCAGGGACAAAAGAAGUGGGUGCUGGAUCA